AACGAACGCUGGCGGCAUGCCUAACACAUGCAAGUCGAACGAGACCUUCGGGUCUAGUGGCGCACGGGUGCGUAACGCGUGGGAACCUGCCCUUAGGUUCGGAAUAACUCCCCGAAAGGGGUGCUAAUACCGGAUAAUGUCUUCGGACCAAAGAUUUAUCGCCCUUGGAUGGGCCCGCGUUGGAUUAGCUAGUUGGUAGGGUAAAAGCCUACCAAGGCGACGAUCCAUAGCUGGUCUGAGAGGAUGAUCAGCCACACUGGGACUGAGACACGGCCCAGACUCCUACGGGAGGCAGCAGUGGGGAAUAUUGGACAAUGGGCGAAAGCCUGAUCCAGCAAUGCCGCGUGAGUGAUGAAGGCCUUAGAGUUGUAAAGCUCUUUUACCCGGGAUGAUAAUGACAGUACCGGGAGAAUAAGCUCCGGCUAACUCCGUG
rnacentral:rRNA from 1 species